AUUGAACGCUGGCGGCAUGCCUAACACAUGCAAGUCGGACGAGUGGCGGACGGGUGAGUAACGUCUGGGAAAGUACCUGGUGAUGGGGGAUAACUACUGGAAACGAUAGCUAAUACCGCAUACUAUUAGAGCGGCCCAUAUCUGAUUAGCUGGUUGGUGGGGUAAAGGCCCACCAAGGCGACGAUCAGUAGCUGGUCUGAGAGGAUGAUCCGCCACACGGGGACUGAGACACGGGCCAGACUCCUACGGGAGGCAGCAGUGGGGAAUAUUGCACAAUGGGCGCAAGCCUGAUCCAGCCAUGCCGCGUGUAUGAAGAAGGCCUUCGGGUUGUAAAGGACUUUUGUCAGGGAGGCGGUACCUGAAGAAUAAGCACCGGCUAACUACGUGCCAGCAGCCGCGGUAAUUC
rnacentral:rRNA from 1 species